rnacentral:rRNA from 1 species
CCUACGGGAGGCAGCAGUGGGGAAUAUUGCACAAUGGGCGCAAGCCUGAUGCAGCGACGCCGCGUGGGGGAUGAAGGCCUUCGGGUUGUAAACCCCUUUCAGCAGGGAAAGAAGCGAAAGUGACGGUACCUGCAGAAGAAGCGCCGGCUAACUACGUGCCAGCAGCCGCGGUAAUACGUAGGGCGCAAGCGUUGUCCGGAAUUAUUGGGCGUAAAGAGCUCGUAGGCGGUUUGUCGCGUCUGCUGUGAAAGUCCGAGGCUCAACCUCGGAUCUGCAGUGGGUACGGGCAGACUAGAGUGUGGUAGGGGAGACUGGAAUUCCUGGUGUAGCGGUGGAAUGCGCAGAUAUCAGGAGGAACACCAAUGGCGAAGGCAGGUCUCUGGGCCACAACUGACGCUGAGGAGCGAAAGCAUGGGGAGCGAACAGGAUUAGAUACCCUGGUAGUCCAUGCGUAACGGUAGGGCGACUAGAUGUGGGUCGUCUUCCUAUGUGUUCCGUCGUCGCNGCUACGCAUUAGUGCCCGCCGUCGGGGNGGUACGGCCGCGACGACGUAAACCGUACGAAAGGAAGUUAGACGGCGUGAGACGUGCCGACGGACGACGACGAGGGAGGAGG